GACGAACGCUGGCGGCGUGCUUAACACAUGCAAGUCGAACGGAAAGGCCCUGCUUUUGUCGGGUGCUCGAGUGGCGAACGGGUGUGUAACACGUGAGUAACCUGCCCUUGACUUUGGGAUAACUUCAGGAAACUGGGGCUAAUACCGGAUAGGAGCUCCUGCUGCAUGGGGGGGGUUGGAAAGUUUCGGCGGUUGGGGAGGGACUCGCGGUUUAUCAGCUUGUUUGUGGGGGAGUUGCUUACCAAGGCUUUGACGGGUAGCCCACCUGGGAGGGUGACCGGCCUCAUUGGUACUGAGGUAGGCACCAGACUCCAACGGGGGGCAGUAGUGGGGAGUAUUGCACAGCGGGCGGAAGCCUGUGACAACAGCGCCGCGUGUGGGAUGACGGCCUUCGUGGUGUGAACCGCAUUCGCCUGUGACGAAGCGUGAGUGACGGUAAUGGGUAAAGAAGCACCGGCUAACUACGUG
rnacentral:rRNA from 1 species